CCUACGGGGAGCAGCAGUGGGGAAUAUUGGGCAAUGGGCGCAAGCCUGACCCAGCAACGCCGCGUGAAGGAAGAAGGCUCUCGGGUUGUAAACCUCUUUUCUCAGGGACGAAGCAAGUGACGGUAACUGAGGAAUAAGCCACGGCUAACUACGUGCCAGCAGCCGAGGUAAUACGUAGGUGGCAAGCGUUAGUCGGAUUUACCGGGUGGAAAGGGCGUGUAGGCGGGGACGCCAGUCAGAUGUGAAAACCACGGGCUCAACCUGUGGCCUGCAUUUGAAACUGUGUUUCUUGAGUACUGGAGAGGCAGACGGAAUUCCUAGUGUAGCGGUGAAAUGCGUAGAUAUUAGGAGGAACACCAGUGGCGAAGGCGGUCUGCUGGACAGCAACUGACGCUGAGGCGCGAAAGCGUGGGGAGCAAACAGGAUUAGAUACCCCAGUAGUC
rnacentral:rRNA from 1 species